GCAUCAACAUCUGAUGCAGCAACCACAACUAUGCCUGACACCACAACAACAAUUGAUACAACAACAUCUUUGGCUUCCACAACCACCUUUUCUACAUCCUCAACGGUUGAACCAACGUCAACAACAACUGAUGCAUCAACAACAACUCUGUCUGACACCACAACAACAAAAACUGAUGCAACAACAGUUUUGGCUUCCACAACCGCACCUCUGAUAUCGACCACUAUAGCACCAGCAUCAACAUCUGAUGCAGCAACCACAACUAUGCCUGACACCACAACAACAAUUGAUACAACAACAAAUUUGGCUUCCACAAUCACUCCUACAACAUCCUCAACUGUAGUGCCAGUUUCAACAACAACUGAUGCAUCAACAACAACUCUGUCUGACACCACAACAACAACAACAACUGAUACAACAACAACUUUGGCUCUCGCAACCACCGCUCCAACAUCCUCUAAUAUUGCACCAAUUUCACCAACUGAAACAGCAACCACAACUAUGCCUGACACCACAACAACAACUGAUACAACAACAUCUUUGGAUUUCCACAACCACCUUUUCCAACAUCCUCAACGUUUGAACCAACGUCAACAACAUCUGAUGUAGCAACAACAAGUAUUCCUGAUACCACAACAAUGAUAGAUGCAACAACAGUUUUGGCUUCCACAACCACACCUCUGACAUUGACCACUAUAGCACCAGCAUCAACAUCUGAUGCAGCAACCACAAUUAUGCCUGACACCACAACAACAAUUGAUACAACAACAUCUUUGGCUUCCACAACCACCUUUCCAACAUCCUCAACGUUUGAACCAACGUCAACAACAUCUGAUGUAGCAACCACAACUCUGUCUGACACCACAAAAACAUCUGAUGCAACACUCUAGCAUCAGUGUCAAAAACAACAACUGAUGAAUCAAAAAAACAACUCUGUCUGACACCACUACAACUACUGAUGCAACAACAAUUUUGUAUUCCAAAAACCACCCAUCUAAUGUCAACCACUGAUGCAUCAACCACAACUCUGCCUGACACCACAACAACUACUGGUGCUGCAAUUGUGACUUCCACAACCACCCCUCCAACAUCUUCGACAGUAGGACCAACGUCAACAACUGAUGAAUCAACCACAACUCUGCCUGACACCCCAACAUCUACUGAUGCAACAACAGUUUUGGCUUCCACAACCGCACAUCUGACAUCGACCACUAUAGCACCAGCAUCAACAUCUGAUGCAGCAACCACAAGUAUUCCUGAUACCACAACAAUGAUAGAUGCAACAACAACUUUGGCUUCCACAAUCACUCCUACAACAUCCUCAACUGUAGUGCCAGUUUCAACAACAACUGAUGCAGCAACCACAACUCUGUCUGACACCACAACAACAACUGAUGCAACAACAAUUUUGGCUUCCACAACCACACCUCUGAUAUCGACCACUAUAGCACCAGCAUCAACAUCUGAUGCCGUAACCACAACUAUGCCUGACACCACAACAACAACUGAUACAACAACAUCUUUGGAUUCCACAACCACCUUUCCAACAUCCUCAACGUUUGAACCAACGUCAACAACAUCUGAUGUAGCAACAACAAGUAUUCCUGAUACCACAACAAUGAUAGAUGCAACAACAUCUUUGGCUUCCACAACCACCUUUUCAACAUCCUCAACGGUUGAACCAACGUCAACAACAUCUGAUGCAGCAACCACAAGUAUUCCUGAUACCACAACAAUGAUAGAUGCAACAACAACUUUGGCUUCUACAUUCACUCCUACAACAUCCUCAACUGUAGCGCCAGUUUCAACAACAACUCAUGCAUCAACAACAACUCUGUCUGACACCACAACAACAACAACUGAUGCAACAACAGUUUUGGCUUCCACAACCACACCUCUGACAUUGACCACUAUAGCACCAGCAUCAACAUCUGAUGCAGCAACCACAAUUAUGCCUGACACCACAACAACAAUUGAUACAACAAAUGUUGCAUCAACCACAAGUAUGCUUGACACCACAGCAACUACUGAUGUGACAGCAACUUUGGCUCCUACAACCACUUCUCCAGAUUCCUCAACAGUGGCAAAAACAUCGACAACUGAUGGAACAACAACUAUGCCUGACUUUACAACAAUUAUUGAUGCAACAACUUUAGAUAGCACAUCCACCCUUUCAACAUCUUCAACUGUGGCACCAAUGUCAACAAAAACUGAAGUGGCAACCACAAUUCUCUCUGACACCACAGAAACUACUGAUGCAAAAACAAAUUUGGCUUCCGGAACCAUUCCUCAAAUAUCAUCAACUAUAGCACCAGCAUCAUCAACUGAUGCAGCAACCACAACUAUGCCAGACACAGCAACAUCUUUGCUUAGCGCCAGCAUCCCUCCAACAUCCUCAACUGUAGCAUCAUCAGCUGGGUUAGCAACCACACCUAUGCCUGACAACACAAUAGCACUUCCAAAAACAACUACUGGUGCAACAACAACAAUUUUGGCUACCACAAGCACUACUCCAACAUCCUCAAAUGUAGCACCAACACUGACAACUGAUUCGGCAACUAAAACUAAGCUUGAAUCCUCAACCACUAUUGGUGUAACAACAAGAACCCCUCAAAUAUCCUCAACUAUGCUCAAGCCUUACAUCACAACAAUUAUUGAAACAACAACAAAUUUGGUUUCCAAAACCACUAAUCCAACAUUCACAACCACAGCACAGGUGUUGACAAGUGACUCAGCAAUGACAACUAUUGCUGAUGCAACAACAGUACUUCCAACAACAACUAGUCAUGAAACAACAACCUUGGCUAUCACUAGCACCCCUCUAGAGUCCUCAUCUAAUGUAGCAACCACAACUUUGCCUGAACAUACAACAACUACUGGUGCAAAUACAACAACAACAACAACAAAUAAUAUUGAUGCAGCAGUCACAACUAUGUCUGAAAUAACAACAGUGUUUCCAACAAAUGCUACUAUUGUUGAGACAACAACAACUUUGGUUUCCACAACAACAAACAAUCCUACAACAAUUACUGUGGCUGAAACCACAACAUAUCUUCCAAAUACAGCUACUGGCGAGACAAUAACAACUUUGGCCACAUCUCCAACAUCCUUAUCUAUAGCACAAAAGUUGACUGACACAACCAUCCCUUCAACAUCCUCAAAUAUAGCACCAAAAUCAACAACUGAUGCAGCAACCACAACUUCACCUAAAACAACAACAGUACUUUCCAAAACAACUAUUAGUGCAACAGCUUUGGCUGCCAAAAGUACCCCUCCAGUGUCCUCAUCUGUAGCACCAACAUUGACAACUGAUGCAGCAAACGCAACUAUGGCUGAAACAGAAACAGUUCUUCCAACAAAAACUUUUGGUGCAACAACAAAAUCUGUUCUAGCACCAACAAUGACAUCUGAUGCAACAAUCAGAACUUUGCCUGAAACAUCAAUGGUAUUUUCAAAAACAACUAUUGGUGCAACAACAACAACUUUGACUAUUACAAGUGCUCCUCCAGCAUCCUCAUCUUUUGCACCAACUUUGACUACUGGUGCGGCAGUCACAACUAUUCCUGAAACAAAAAAAGUCCAUCCAGCAACAACUGUUGGUGCAACAACAGCUUUGUCUACAUUAUCUGUUCUAGCACCAAUGUCAGCAUCUGAUGCUGCUUCCACAACUAUGGCUGACACCACAACAAAUAUUGAUUCAAAAACAUCAACUUUGACUCCCACAAGCACUCCUCCAACAUCCUCAACUGUAGCACAGUUCUCAAAAUCUGAUGCAACAACCACUACUAUGCUUGGAACGACAACAGUCCUUCCAGCAAAGCCUAUUAGUGCAACACCAACAACUUUGGUUAACACAAGCACCCUUGCAACAUCUUCACUUGUAGAACCAAUGUUGACAGCUGAUGCAGCAAUCACAACUAUGGCUGACACCACAACAAUUACUGGUGCAACAACAAAUUUGGCCAACACAAGCACCCCGCCAAUAUCAUCAGUUAUACCACCAACGUCAACAUCUGAUGUGGCAGCCAAAACUAUGGCUGACACCACAACAAGUAUUGGUGCAACAGCAACAACUUUGACAACCACAACUAUGGCUGACACAACAACAAAUAUUGGUGCAACAACAGCAAAUUUGGUUAACACAAGCACUCCUCCAACAUCCUCAACUGUAGCACAAUUGUUGACAACUGAUUCAGCAACCACAGCUAUUCCUGAAAUAACAGUGGUACUUCCAACAAUGAUUGGUGCAACAACAACAACUUUGGCUACCAGAAGUACCCUUUCAACAUUCUCCACUCUAGCUCCAACAUCAACAACCGAUACACCAACUACAACUAUGCCUGAAAAAACAUUAGCACUUCUAACAAAUGGUAUUAUUGUUGAGGCAACUAAAACUUUGGUUUCCACAACAACAAACAAUCCAACAUCUACUAUGGCUGAAACCACAACAACCCUUCCAGUAACUUUGGCCACACUUCCAACAUCCUUGACUAUAGAACAAUCUUUGGCUGCUACAACCAUCCCUCAAACAUCAUCAAAUAUAGCACCCAUGUUGACAACUGAUAGAGCAACUACAAAUUCACCCGAAACAGCAACAAUUCUUUCAGCAACAACAAUUGGUGCAACAACAACAACUCUGGCUGCCAAAAGCACCUCUCCAGCAUCCUCAUCUGUAGCACCAACAACUGAUGCAGCAACCACAACUAUGCCUGAAACAACAUCAGUCCUACCAACAACACCUAUUGGUGCAACAACAACUUUGACACAAGCACCCCUCUAA
ensembl:lncRNA